GCUAGGUUGCCUGGUGGAGCGAGUCUCAUACAAUAAGAUAAAAUCUUGAAGGAAGUCUUGAAGGCACAGUCUGAGAAGCAGGCACUGAGAAGCACUUAGUUUGUUGGGAAGACUUUGAUGUGGGAGGUGAGAGGAUUUCUCCUAGUGAAGAACAGAUUUUCUGGCCAAGCUUCAGUUCUUCCUGCCAUUGCCGGCACGGAGAGUCUGUCAUAGUCCCUCUGGACACUUAUAUUUGAAACAAGGAACAUAAAGGGGAUUAAGGGAUGUUAUUACUUUCCUCUUAUAAUUGGAAGGGAGCUGCAAUAUAUUCAUUAUCUGCUCAUAGUUGAUGCCAUACUGUCCUACAGCACUGAAAUUGUGGGAUGACAAUUAUAUCACUGAUGACAUAAUUUAUCAGUUUUUUGUUACUCAAGGUAAUUCCAAUGAGGCAAUAAAUCUACGUGUCAGUAACAAAAUAUUCAGUUUACCAGCUGUGCUCUAUUUUAUAGCCAUAGGUUUAAAGAUUUGAAAGGAGUGUAUGCUAAGCACCACUUUGCAAUUAGAGUCAAAGAGGAAAUUAAACGUUCUGUUUUUGUUACAAAAGCAAAGAACUGUGUCUCAUAAUUUGUCUUUUUGUUCACAUUGCAUAACAGGAUCUGCCUUUUGCUUCUUCAUCAGUUCAACCCAAGGAUUGUGCUGGAAUAUCAGUCAGGAAGCCUGUUCCACCAGGAAGUCUUACCCUUGCAGUGACGCAAUGUGCAGCAUGAUGUACAUUAUAGAAAAUGUGGAUUCUGUUCCAACAGACCUUAUUAGCACUCUGCAGAGAUAAGUACAGCAUCAUCUCCUCCGUGCACUUGAGCACUUUAGCUCCUGUCUCCCAGGAGUUGGUUCAGUAUCUUGAAAGGUAAACUAGCUUGCUAAAAAAGGCUUUAAAGUGAGUGAGCAUCUCAUAGAGUCGCUAUUCCUUCAUUAAAACUAACAAAAAUAUGUUGCCAUCCAGUGACUAGCUGGCUGUACAAGCCCUUAAAGAAGUCUUGGGUGUCUCAGUUUCCCCACUGGCUCCCUCCUGUUACACAUACGGCUUUUGCAUGAGAUCAGGAGCCACAGCUGUACACACAGGGAGUGAAAAAAUUAAAUGAGUUUGGAGAAGUUAGUUCCAAAGGUGUCUAUACAUUUGGGAUUCCAAAGGUUGAGGGUAGGAAUCAUGUAGGGUAAGGUCCAAAUUCUCAAUGAGAUAUAUGCGUAGAUCAAGAUAUUAAAAAUGUAGGGUCCUGUUUGGCAGAAAAUACAACACUGGAACUUUAUAAGGUUCCUUAAGAAUAGUUGCUGGUAAAACAGGACUUCCAGCACAGGCAAAGUAUCCUUAGUCUGUCCUUCUUUAAUUUAGUUUGAAAAAAUAGGGGCUGUAUCUGCAGAUCUCCCGAAGACUGAAAGAUUAUCCAAUUACAGUUUAAAGAAACGUGCAGCAACAAUGACUAACUGAAAUUAAAAGACACUGUGGAGAAGAGAAAGAGAGUCAGAGAGAGAGCACUUCAAUUUCUCUUAUCAGUAAGUGGGGAGAACUAUUGCUGUCCUUAAGUUUUGUGGUAAGUGGGGUGAAGGUCCCUUGUGUCAGGGAGGGGAUCUGCCUGCUUUCCCACCUUUCUUCCUUUUUUUGGCAGGGGAGUUGGAGCUUGAUGAUCCUUGAGGUCCCUUCCAACCGAAGCCAUUCUAUGAUUCUAUGACCCUUUUCUUCUGCUUCUCUCUCUUUUUCUUCACGCAGACCUUACACAUAUAUGAAAAGCUGACGAUUCCUAUGGAUUACUUUUUUUUUUUUUUUAGAUUUACAUGUGUUAACAAAAAAGAGGCUCUUAGUAGCUCUGUUUGGGUAUUAAGGGCAGAAAAUAAAGAGUGCUGUUAAUCUUGGGCUGAACCUGGG
rnacentral:lncRNA from 1 species